rnacentral:tRNA from 1 species
GUGGAUGUAGCUCAGCCGGUAGAGCUCCGGAUUGUGGAUCCGGCGGUCGCGGGUUCAAGUCCCGUCAUCCACCCCA